rnacentral:lncRNA from 10 species
GAAGAUGACCGUCCCCAAUCCUUUAAUCCUUGCCUGUAAGAGAAUGAUACGGCCACACCCUCUGCCAUGUGACUGCAGUGCUGCCUGAUAGAGCUGCACAGUUCCCGUCCCAUUUCACCGCUGCCUCCAAAUUCCCACCCCAGCUGCGCCACGUCUCUCAAGCAGAGCUGGCGAUCCGAGAGCAGUGACUGGGGACGAGUGUCCACGCGGGGCUGACGAACUGUCAAAGCCGCCACCAUCUGUCAAGACCUAUGAGGACGCACACAGCACGGGCAGGCGGGCAGGAGAAGUGGCGGACGCAGUCGGCCACCCAGCAUCAGCUCCGGAGGCGCGCUGCUUCACCUGGUGACCUGUCCCCGGCCUACGGGUCUCCAGGAAGCACUCCAGUCCCUGCCAGAUGCUAGCGGGAAGGCAGGAGGGGGCGCCGUCCCAGCACCCCGGAAGCUGCCAAUCUGCUUGCGGGGCUGAGACCGAUCUAGGAAAGGGUAAGCAAAGAUGCACGCGCCUGGGCGGCACGCAGCGGAUUUCCAAGUCGUCUGCACAGAUCAUUGACCCCGCAGGACACGUGCGCAUGUUGGCAGGGCCGACUCCGGAGGAAUUCCAACUCUUCUGAAUCUGCCACCUUGCAGAGGGGACAGCUGACCCUUCGCCCCAUCUCUGAAAGGGCCAAGGAUCUUUCCUCUCAUUGCUUCCUACUGAAUGCCCAGGAUGCCUCGGUGUUGCCUACCUUCCGCAAAAUCCUCAGGGCUGGAUCGUUUUCGGAAACUGCCACCAGAGGGAGCUCCAACAAUAGAGCUGGAUUUUGCUUCCUCCCAGCUCAUAAAGGAAGUCGGGGGCGGGGGAAAUGCUGUUCUCUGCCACCAGCAGGUGCAAAGAUCAGUUUAAAACGCCCAAGAUUGUAACUUCACUACUAAUUCGUGAAAAGCAUAUGGUGGAAUAAUGCUGGAUCUGCAGAGUGACAGAAUAGCUGUCCUCCACCGUGAGUUUCCCUCAUUUCAGACUCAAAUACUUCAGACCCAAAUGAUCUCCAAAUCAGAACUCCUGCCUCUGCAUUCAGUCUGUAGUGUUCUCUCCAGAGGACUGAAUCCUAGCACCCUCGCUCCCCUCCCCUCCUCUGCCAGGCUUUACAGCCUCCGGAACUGCCCUUUCAACCAGAACAGAGCCCAGACUGUCACCUCGAACAUCAGAGGAGUCCCAGCCCCAUUCCUGAGUGCCCCUCUUCCCCCAGCUGCCCUGUGAACAGUGAUAAGAGCUGUGACUGUGUUCUCCAGGCACUGAAAUUAAAGUCAGAACCACUCCGGCUAUAGAUUCCAUGUGCCGCUUCUUACUGCAGACCCUCAUCUCGGUUUGGGAUGGGGAUGUGGGCAGUGUGUUUUGCUGCCAGGAUGAAGUGGUUCAAUUCUCCUAGAAGGAGAUGCAGCAGUCACGUCCAAAAGCAUGACAAAGCCCACCUAAGAUGACCUGUAUCUUAGAAUAGUCUGAAUUCAUGAGGCUUCCGUCCUCAUGUGAAUAUGUCACUAGCACUUGUUCCUUCUUCUGGGGGUAUACUCAGCCAGCAAUUUCCUUCUUUAAGUUUGGAGACAGUUGUAAAGAGGGGAGAACCCUUGGGCUCAUGGGCCUUUAGUUUUCAUGCAAAAUCUAAGACCUCACCUAGUGGGGGAGGCAGAGAGAAUUGGCCCUGACUUUCAGGUUUGGGGGUUCAGCACAGAUCACUGUUGUGGGAUCCAGACAUUCCUGCACCCAGGAGAUGUGCAAGGACAAGCAUGAGAAAAACUGCAUCUGGCCAGGCACAGUGGCUCACGCCUGUAAUCCCAGCACUGUGGGAGGCCAAGGCAGGUGGAUCACCUGAUGUCAGGAGUUCAAGACCAGCCUGGCCAACAUGGUGAAACCCCGUCUCCACUAAAAAUACAAAAAUUAGCCAAGCAUAGUAGCACAUGUUUGUAAUCCCAGCUACUCAGAGGUUGAGGCAGCAGAAUUGCUUGAACCUGGUGGAGGUUGCAGUGAGCCGAGAUCGCACCACUGCACUCCAGCCUAAGCAACAGAGCCUUGGGGGAGAAAAAAAAGAAAAACAAUGUAUCUGAGGCGUGCGUGACUACUGGGUAACGGCAGCCAUUCCUGGGGAUGUCUGGAAAGGCUUCAGAGGGCAGGCAGACCUGAGUUCCUCCUGCCCUCUACCAAGAGAUGACUGCAGCCUCCAGCCUGGCCUGCACUGGCAGGCACCUUCAAGAGGGACGACAGGACCAACAGGGAGCUGCUGCUGUCCCCCAGGCCUCCCCUGCUCAGAUCUGCAACCAAACCAGCAAAAGCUAGUACGUCUCAGGAAAAACUUCUGCUUGUUACCGAGCUUCCUGGAAAAUUGCAUUUGGAGAGCUAUGAAGGCUUGGCUGUGAGUAAUUUGUUUUUUAAAUAGCUCUGUUAGUUGGUCCACAUUGUGUUUUUCAUUCCACCAGAGCCGAAGGUGGUGUUUCUUUUGUUUAUGGUAUUAGUGUUAUAUUAUUGGUGAUCUCAUUGUUCUUGUUUGUGACAUGUUUACCUCAGUAGGACAGUUAUUGUAGGAGGGAAGUCGGGAGCCAGUCUACCCACCAAACCUGCAGAACUAAAGAAAAAGACUCCAAUCUGUCCCGCAGGGUGCAUAUUACUCCUUUCUUGGAUUGUUAAAUUCUAAUUAUAGGCUGUUGAUCCCCAUUAGAACCAUUUGUAAGCCUAAACACUGUUGUGCAGCAUCUUUUGCCAAUAGGUGUGUUUCAUUCCAAUCGUUGUAUAAAACAUAACAUUCGUGCUUUUGGGGGACUACAACAGGUUAGUGUUCUCUGGCAAAGUUGGACAAGAAAUAGUCAAAAUAUGACUCAAAACUAAGAUAGUGCAAACAAAAGUACACUUUGCCUUGAUGUUUAUUUAUUAGGGAUUUCUGAAACCCUAGGACACUAGAGCUCACCUUUCAGAUCUCAGACCUCAGAUGCCACAUCGUCAAGGAAGCUCUCCUGGACUGCCCACUUCCACAUUCCUGGGACAGCAGAGAUCUCCCCCAGCCCUGCCUGGCACUUGACACAGUGGAUCAUUUCACAGGACUGGGGGAUUAGUUAACUGUCUUUCCACUAGAUGGAAAGUUUCAGAGGAAUCCUGUCGGGAUUACCGAUGCCUAGUAUGAUGCUUAGCACACAGUAGGCAUUUAAUAAAUGUGUUGUGUAGUGCCUGUGUACUGUUUUAUUUGGGAAUCUUCAGAAGGUAAGAAAAGCAAAUGGAUACAUUCAUAAUAAGUAUGAGAUGUGGAGAGCAAGCAAGUCCGUAGAUUAUAAGACGUAAGCAAAAUUCAUAGUAUGUGUUAAGUAGAAGAGGGGAUGAAUAAGAUGGAGCUGUGAGACUCAGGAAGAACUCACAGAAUUCACAUGGAUAAUGAGUAAAUCAAUAACCUGUGGGAGAUGUUGAAGACAGAUACAAUAAGUGGAACAUAUAAUAGAACAAACCAGAGUGCUAUGGACCAAUAGAGAGACAUUAAAAGACCAAGUUGUAAGAUACAUUCAUGCUACAUCAGGGCUGACAGCUAUCUGAUUCCCAAAAUCAGCCACUCAUCCAUCGGUGACACCCAUUAUGGUCCCAGUUGUGUUCUGCCCAAGAAGCACAGAUAAACAGAGAGAGCUGUUCAGGAGGCUAAUGGAUGCUCCUGCUGUGGCCAGGAGAACUUGCCCCUGGCUCUCCAAUAGCAAAAGCGUGUAUCGUUGCCUCGGGCACCUUCUUUCUGUUGGGUCCCUUCACUCAUCCUCAAUUAUGGUCCUUGUAACCACAUCAUUAAGAAAGAAAGUUAAUAUGGGUGGGAGGGAUAUGGGUGGGAGGCAAUAUGUGAACAUUGCAUAUUAAAUGGCCCAGGAUUCAGGAAGGGGACUUCCCACCUGCUUCUGUGGUAUAUGUGUUAACCUACCCCAUCUCUUUCCUCUUGCUUCUCAUUGUGUGUUUAAAAUUUAUUCAACAAUCUGUAUGAUUCAAGUAUCUUAACUAGAUCUUUCUAUUGUAUUACCUCCAGAAUAGUUUGCCUGGUAGCGCAAUAGUUUGCCUGGAGAUUAAUUUCCUAUACAACAUAUUGAAAUAGUGCAUUGUGAAUUGGCUACUAUGACUGCUGAUUAGGGUGAGGGUUAGGGUUAAACCAGUUUCUGAAUCUAGCUACUCCCCCCUACCAUAAAAACCACUUGCAUUCAACAAUUAGCCAUUGCAUUAAGUGCUAAAGAUACAAUGAUGAGAAAACAGCCAUGAUUCCUGCCCUCAUGAAGUUUAGAACAGAAGAAAGACUAUCUGGUAAUCACACAAAUAAGUAACAAAUAAAUCUAACGUUUUAACCAGUGAUAAACCCUCUGAAGAGAAAGUGCACUGAGGUCCUCUGAGAGCAUAUGCCAGGGGAAUUUGACCCAUUCAGAGAGGGUUAAUUAAGCUAAGGGAAAAGGCAUAAAUGUCUCAGGCAGAAGGAAUUGGCUAUGCAAAGGCCACGUGAUGGGAUGAUGUCAUCAACCAUUCUUUCAGCAGACAGCACUGACCCCGUGUGCCCAGCCGCAUGCUAGAGGCAGGAAUACAGGGGAGAAAGACCAGCACUGCCCCCAAGAAAAGCCCACGAUGACUGUCGGACCUAGGAGGAUCCUUGGAGAACCUGAAAAGGUUUCACAUUGCAUGGAGGAUAAGACUAGAGCCUUAUAAGAUAAGACAUCACUGAGAGUUCAGUUGUUAAUCCUGGGAGGGGUGAACUCAUGAAUGAUCACUGGGUGUGGUGGUGCAUCCCUGGCUCUAGUCUUACCCUCCAUGCAACGUGAAAACUUCUGAUGCCCCAACUCAAACCUAAUUUUCAAGCCUUCGUUAGCUAAAAUCUCACCGAAGUCCAGCUUUAGGAGAAAUAACAGAUACUAUUCCCUGGCUUAUGCCAAACUCUUUACAUGCAUUGUUUUGUUUUUUUAUCUUUGUAACAACCAUGUGAGAUUGCACUAAACUGACACUCAGAGAGAAGGUAAGUCAUGCCCCCGAGUCAUUCAGCUAAUAAGUGAAAAGAAAAAAAAAAAUCAAGAUCCAAACCCAGGUCAUUCUGGCCCUAGAGCUGAAACUCAGUGAAAACCAAGCUCUAGCCAGGAAUUGUGGUUAAAAUAAAGCUUCAGCCAGCUGGAUACUCCAGGGUGUUUAGGAAUGUGAAGUUUGUGGGUAUAUCUUGGUAUUGUGGUUGUGUUGAUGCUAUUGUAGUUUUGGUAAUGUGGUCAUCUCUUGACAGUACAUGCUGAAAUGCUUGCAGAUUAAGUGUGGCAAGGUCCAGGUUUUACUUCCAAAUAAUCUGUGUGAAUAGGGGAAGCAGUGUGUGUGUAGGUUUUGACAGCUGGGGAGGCAGAGUCCGUGGGAAGGAGGGGAGGAAAUAGAUUGACCAUAAAAUAGAUUUGCCUUCGUUAUUUGGAGGUUGGGGACAGGUGCAUGGGAGUUCACUAUAAUAUUCUCUUUUCUUUCCUAUAUGUUGGAAAUUUUCCAUAAAAUGUUUUUUUCCAAAACAAGUUAAGUUCUGGGUUAUGUUUUGAUGGCCUACUCCUUCAUCUCCAAAUCCCAUAGACUUUCACAAUUAUAUUUGCCCCCGUAAUUGGAAGUUGUAUGGGGCUGUUUCAAAAAUCUGAGUCAUCAAAGAUGUAAUUGACUUCCUACCGCCGGAUUAGCAGGCAAAAAUGUACCCGAUACUUUCUCUACCGGCGCUGUGUUGGGCUCUGGGCUGAAACCCAGUCUCUCACAGGCCCUCGGAACAGCCCCACCAGUUAAGAUCCAUCCCUGACUUCCAACUCUGUAACUAGGGACAAGUUAAUUGACUCCUCUUAGCCCUUAGUGUCCUCAUCAAUUAUUACGUGGUAAUAACCCCUCAGAGAGUCGCCGGGAGAAUUAGCUCGGCGCGGUGCAUGGGGCUAGAACUCAGGGCCCAGCAGGUCUGACAAUGCAGGUUUCCCCGCUCGCCUGUUGGGUUUUUGAAACGCCCUCAGCGGGGUUUUCCUCCUAAUUCUGGUUUGGAGGAGCCAUCUCUCUCCAUCCCGUCUGCCAGCGGGGUUUGCUUCACACACAGACGUGGGCAGAUGGCAUCGGGGACACAGGGAAACCUGACCUUAGAGGAAAUGGAAAAGUUGGAGAGACACUGAGCACUGAUACGAAAUAAUUCUCUUGCUGAAAUACACGAAAGGAGUCCCAGCAGCCAUAUUAGUAUUUCCACGUCCUGUGUCAGCCCCAAGUAGAGAGAACUUGGAAUGGGAGGGGAAAUGGCAGCCAUCAGGAAAUGAAAUGCUGGCCCAGAGAAUUCUAAGCAAGUCAAUCACCAGUCCAAAGGAAAGGCCAUGUGAGGACAUAAGGAGGAGACAGCCAUCUAUAAGCCAAGAAGAAAGCCCUCACUAGAAACCAACUCUAAUGGCACCCUGAUCUUGGAUUUCUAGCCCCU